UGUAGUCAUAUGCUUGUCUCAAAGAUUAAGCCAUGCAUGUCUAAGUAUAAGCAAUUAUACCGCGAAACUGCGAAUGGCUCAUUAAAUCAGUUAUCGUUUAUUUGAUAGUACCUUACUACAUGGAUAACCGUGGUAAUUCUAGAGCUAAUACAUGCUAAAAAUCCCGACUUCGGAAGGGAUGUAUUUAUUAGAUUAAAAACCAAUGCCCUUCGGGGCUCUCUGGUGAUUCAUAAUAACUUCUCGAAUCGCACGGCCUUGCGCCGGCGAUGGUUCAUUCAAAUUUCUGCCCUAUCAACUUUCGACGGCUGGGUCUUGGCCAGCCAUGGUGACAACGGGUAACGGAGGGUUAGGGCUCGACCCCGGAGAAGGAGCCUGAGAAACGGCUACUACAUCCAAGGAAGGCAGCAGGCGCGCAAAUUACCCAAUCCCGACUCGGGGAGGUAGUGACAAUAAAUACUGAUACAGGGCUCUUUUGGGUCUUGUAAUUGGAAUGAGUACAAUUUAAAUCCCUUAACGAGGAACAAUUGGAGGGCAAGUCUGGUAAUCG
rnacentral:rRNA from 1 species